rnacentral:rRNA from 1 species
UGGGGAAUAUUGCACAAUGGGCGCAAGCCUGAUGCAGCCAUGCCGCGUGUAUGAAGAAGGCCUUCGGGUUGUAAAGCACUUUCAGCGGGGAGGAAGGCGUUAAGGUUAAUAACCUUGGCGAUUGACGUUACCCGCAGAAGAAGCACCGGCUAACUCCGUGCCAGCAGCCGCGGUAAUACGGAGGGUGCAAGCGUUAAUCGGAAUUACUGGGCGUAAAGCGCACGCAGGCGGUCUGUCAAGUCGGAUGUGAAAUCCCCGGGCUCAACCUGGGAACUGCAUUCGAAACUGGCAGGCUAGAGUAUUGUAGAGGGGGGUAGAAUUCCAGGUGUAGCGGUGAAAUGCGUAGAGAUCUGGAGGAAUACCGGUGGCGAAGGCGGCCCCCUGGACGAAGACUGACGCUCAGGUGCGAAAGCGUGGGGAGCAAACAGG